AUUGAACGCUGGCGGAAUGCUUUACACAUGCAAGUCGAGCGGCAGCGCGGGGCGACCUGGCGGCGAGCGGCGAACGGGUGAGUAAUGCAUCGGAACGUACCCCGUCGUGGGGAAUAACUACCCGAAAGGGUAGCUAAUACCGCAUACGACCUGAGGGUGAAAGCGGGGGACCGAAAGGCCUCGCGCGAUGGGAGCGGCCGAUGCCGGAUUAGCUAGUUGGUAGGGUAAAGGCCUACCAAGGCGACGAUCCGUAGCUGGUCUGAGAGGACGACCAGCCACACUGGAACUGAGACACGGUCCAGACUCCUACGGGAGGCAGCAGUGGGGAAUUUUGGACAAUGGGCGAAAGCCUGAUCCAGCCAUUCCGCGUGAGUGAAGAAGGCCUCGGUUGUAAG
rnacentral:rRNA from 1 species